UACGGAGGAGGCAAACGUUGUUCGGAAUCAUUGGGCUUAAAGCGCGUGUAGGCGGAGUGGUAGGCGCGUUCGUGAAAGCCCCCGGCUCAACCGGGGAAUUGCGGGGCGAACCCUCACUCUUGAGGCAGGUAGAGGCGAGCGGAACUAUGGGUGGAGCGGUGAAAUGCGUAGAGAUCCAUGGGAACGCCGGUGGCGAAAGCGACUCGCUGGGCCUGUGCUGACGCUGAGACGCGAAAGCGUAGGGAGCAAACAGGAUUAGAUACCCCCGUA
rnacentral:rRNA from 1 species